CGUCUCCUCCACCUCCUCUUUGGUGGAUUAAGCCCGGGCCGCAAACGCUCGAGCUUUUUUUG
rnacentral:ncRNA from 1 species